rnacentral:rRNA from 1 species
UUUGAACGCUCGGUGGCGUGCUUAACACAUGCAAGUCGAGCGAGAACGGGACCUUUGGUCCUUAGUAGAGCGGCGCACGGGUGAGUAACGCGUAGAUAAUCUGCCUUUCAGUUCGGGAUACCAGGUGGAAACGCCUGUCAAUACCGGAUAAACUUAAGAUAUAAACUGUCUUAGGCAAAGAUGGCCUCUGAUGCAAGCUGUCGCUGGAAGAUGAGUCUGCGUCUCAUUAGCUAGUUGGUAGGGUAAAGGCCUACCAAGGCAACGAUGAGUAGCCGUCCUGAGAGGGAGAUCGGCCACACUGGAACUGAGACACGGCCCAGACUCCUACGGGAGGCAGCAGUGGGGAAUCUUGCACAAUGGGGUCACCCCUGAUGCAGCCAUGCCGCGUGGAGGAAGACACCCCUAUGGGGCGUAAACUCCUUUUCUGAGAGAAGAACCCCCUGUAGGUUCAGGGUGUGACGGUAUCUCAGGAAUAAGCGCCGGCUAACUCCGUGCCAGCAGCCGCGGUAAUACGGAGGGUGCAAGCGUUGUCCGGAAUCACUGGGCGUAAAGGGUGCGCAGGCGGGGCAGCAAGUCGGAGGUGAAAGCCCGUGGCUCAACCACGGAAGCGCCUUCGAAACUGUUGCUCUUGAGUCCCGGAGAGGUUGCCGGAAUUCGUGGUGUAGCGGUGAAAUGCGUAGAUAUCACGAGGAACACCAGAGGCGAAAGCGGGCAACUGGACGGGUACUGACGCUCAGGCACGAAAGCGCGGGGAGCAAACAGGAUUAGAUACCCUGGUAGUCCGCGCCGUAAACGAUGAAUGCUCGCCGUUAUUCCGCUUAAGGAAUAGUGGCUAAGCUAACGCGUUAAGCAUUCCGCCUGGGGAGUACGAUCGCAAGGUUGAAACUCAAAGGAAUUGACGGGGGCCCGCACAAGCGGUGGAGCAUGUGGCUCAAUUCGAUGCAACGCGAAGAACCUUACCUAGGCUCGAACGCUAGGGGACCGCUCCUGAAAGGGAGCUUUCCGCAAGGACCCCUAGCGAGGUACUGCAUGGCUGUCGUCAGCUCGUGUCGUGAGAUGUUGGGUUAAGUCCCGCAACGAGCGUAACCCUUGUCGUUAGUUACCAGCGGGUAGUGCCGGGGACUCUAGCGAGACCGCCUGCGCAAGCAGUGAGGAAGGUGGGGAUGACGUCAAGUCAUCAUGGUCCUUACGCCUAGGGCUGCACACGUGCUACAAUGGUCGGGACAACGAGCAGCCACCUCGCGAGGGGGAGCGAAUCUCUCAAACCCGAUCGCAGUUCGGAUUGGAGUCUGCAACUCGACUCCAUGAAGCCGGAAUCGCUAGUAAUCGCGGAUCAGCAAUGCCGCGGUGAAUUCGUUCCCGGGCCUUGUACACACCGCCCGUCAAGCCAUGGAAGCUGAGAGCACCCGAAGUCCGUGACUCAACUCCGGCGUUCAGCCGGAGGGAGAGCGGCCGAAGGUGAGCUCAGUAACUGGGGCU